ensembl:lncRNA
AUUUUUGUGUACCUAUGAAAAAAGUAUAUAUAUAUAUAUAUAUAUAUAUUUUUUUUUUUCAUUUGGUGCUUCCAGACACUUUGUGCCUUUCUGAUUUUAUAAUUUUGAGUAACCUCAGCUACAUGACUCCUGGCUUUUUGCCAUUGUGGUCUCAGGGCUCUGAAAUUUGGAUCAUGGACAUGGAAAAACCUUCGGAAAACUUUGUUAAACAGGUAUUCUUUGAAUCCUUCCUUUGCUUUCUGAGUUGUAUUUUAUUUGCUCUACCCAUGCGAACUUCAGGCCCACAAGCCUGCUAUUCUAUUUAAACAGAUCCCAACUGCUUGUCUGCUCACAGUAGCUGAAGGAAUGGAGAUUUAAGGCUGGGCUUCCUAUCCCUCAACAUCUUUUCUUUCCAGAAGCAUCACUGCACAGACCUCUGUUUCUUAGCUUUUUGUUCAUUCUACCCACUUUUCUGUUCUGUUCUCAGUUAUUCCUUUUAAAACUUCUCUCCAGCAGGAGUGACUUGCAAUUUGCACACACUCUUUUAAAUUCUCCCAAGUGCUGAAGAAGUAUAUUGAAAUAUCCUGAUGUAUAAUUUCGUGCAUGUGAAACUCACAGUUGGAAAUGACUGCUCUAAUUUCAGUAAUGAACACAGAAAAGCAUUUGGAUUCAUAACCCAAUGUUUGAAAAGUGUACUUUAAAAUGUAAUGUGCAAGAAAAGAAAAUUGAAGAGAACGAGGAAUGAAAAAACCUUAAAUAUACUGCUUCAUAAAUUCAUCAUUAGGCAUAUACAUGUUGCACUUCUAUUUAUAAAUCAGGCACUUUUAAUUUAUAGUGUGCAUUUACCACGUCAGCCUCUCCCGGGUCUCAAAAAUCCCGUGGCUGUAAAUUUAGGAAACUUGAACAAGCCAGCAAGGAUUAAGCCCUGUAGGAAUUCAAAUGACUAUCUUCUUAGACUCCUCAUUUCAGCCAUUUCAAGGAACUGCUUUUGGCCAGAACAGGCUCUGGAAAUGAAACUGUGUGUAUUCUUCGCCCAAAUAGAAAACGCAAUUCAAAGUUUAAGUUCUGGCUGUUGGGAGUCAUGGGAGGCGAAGAGCCUGGCUGGGAAACCGGAACCUGCAGCGGGGGCCUCGCUCGGAGCUUGCUGGGCGGACCGGGAGGACCCGCAGUCGGAAGGUCCCCGGCGGGGCGGGCCCGGAGGGCACGCUCCGCGCAGCACGGCUCAUCCCCAUCCUUCUGCAGAUGCUGAUAGGUCCUGGUACUCCCCCGGUGCUCACACGCUGGGGCACGCACACUGGGGCACACACGCCGGUGCACACACGCCGGUCGGCGGUGCAUGUGAAGCCAAGCCCCGAAGAGUUACCUCCCCAGCAGAAGAGAGUCCACACGCCCGCACGUGUGACGGUCCUUCCCGAGAAAGUGCCCGUUCCCCCGCUUCUGGCCCCACUUUCGCGCACCGCGAGCUCUACAAACCGUCUCUGGCCCAUUUUUUAAAUGACGUUACAAUAACGAAACUCUCCCCGGAAUCGGAUCGCGGCGAAGUCGCAGCGCACUCGGCGUCCGCGGGAGCUGCUGGGGCGCCGGGGGCUCGGUCCGGCCGGCCGCGGGGCGGGGUCCCGGGGAUCCCGGGGUCUCCGCGGCCGCCGGCUCCCGGGCAACCCGAGCGUAGCCCCAGCGGCCCCGCCGCCCUCCUCUCCGAGAGGCGCGCGCCGCGGAGUCCCGCGACCCCGAUCCCGGAUCGCCUCAUCCGCAGCUUGGCGCUUUCCCGAGCCGGAGCCGGAGCCGGAGCCGGAGCCGGAG